rnacentral:rRNA from 1 species
GUGCAGCAGGCGCGAAAACUUUACAAUGCUGGCAACAGCGAUAAGGGGACCUCGAGUGCCAGGAUACAAUCUUGGCUGUCGCGAUGCCUAAAAAGCAUUGCAUAGCAAGGGCCGGGCAAGACCGGUGCCAGCUGCCGCGGUAACACCGGCGGCUCGAGUGGUAACCGCUAUUAUUGGGUCUAAAGGGUCUGUAGCCGGCCGGAUAAGUCUUUUGGGAAAUCCAGCUGCUCAACAGUUGGGCUUUCAGAAGAUACUGUUCGGCUCGAGACCGGGAGAGGUGAGAGGUACUUCAGGGGUAGGGGUGAAAUCUUGUAAUCCUUGAAGGACCACCAGUGGCGAAGGCGUCUCACCAGAACGGAUCUGACGGCAAGGGACGAAAGCUAGGGGCACGAACCGGAUUAGAUACCCGGGUAGUCCUAGCCGUAAACGAUACUCGCUAGGUGUCAGCCACGGUGCGACCGUGGUUGGUGCCGUAGGGAAGCCGUGAAGCGAGCCACCUGGGAAGUACGGCCGCAAGGCUGAAACUUAAAGGAAUUGGCGGGGGAGCAC